UAAAAAUAAAUAAAGAUGUGAGUUGUUGAAACCGGAAAACGUGGCUGUCUUAUUUAAUACUAGCAUUUAUUCAUUCAUUACAUCCUUAUAAUAGUUAUACACUUGUAUUAUACGCAACACAACCUUUUCCAUUUGAGGUACUGAAGAUGCUGUGUCACAAUCCUAAUUCUUAGUUGUACGCAUUCUUUGGGAUGGUGACACUAUUACAGUGAGCAAAGCAAUCAAAAGAUAAAAUCCUAUACUAAAAACAACAAACCUUCUCCGCCUUUUAUUUCCAAAAGGUUGAUCUUGCAAAGACCUUGGUAGGUACAACAACCCUACAAUACAGGCGGAACAUCUAGCUAAAUUCUCUAACAGAAAAGAUUCACAAGUCAAGCAAAGACAGCUCAUGGUCAAAGGUCAAAUGUAAUCCUUUAACUAUGUGCGCCUAGUGAUAUUUCUAAUGGGCCUAGAAUGUUUAAGUUGUGUAGACAACCUGCUAUCAAAGUCCCCAUCCUUCGGAUGAACCGUGUCCUCAAGAUUUAUGGGUUGGGCCCAUAAGCCAAUUGGGUUACCGAUGAAAGUCGUUGGUGGGCUAUGGAAUGGGUUACAAUUGGGGAGAUUAGAUGAUGGUCAGAGUGACCGACCCAGGGAAAAUGUGUAUCUUCAUUAGUAUGGUUAUUAGGGAAUGUGUGGGUAAAGUGAGAGGAUCAUCCAUGAGCUCAAAAAAAGGGGACAUGUGAUUUGGCUUAUGAACACGGGCACAACAGUGGUGACAUGGAAGAAGUGGUGUUUAGUUCAAGGAUUGGAAACAGAGUUGGAUUAGAAUUUAAAGAGCGAAAGGUGUUUUCCAAGAGAUUGGUGAUGAGGGGGCAUGGGGUCGUGAUAUGGUAGAAUGAGGGAAAUGUGGAAAACUGGAUUCAUUUGAGAGUGGGCCUCACCUUCGAGUGUACAAUUGCCAACAGCAUCUACACCUUCCAGCUAGGCCAUCAUUGACUCUUUCUUAGUGCCACCUUUUUCGUCCCCUCCGACUCCAUCACUUGAGUGACGCUUUGGCCCACCCUAGCUAGAGACAAGCUAUGAUUGAUGAACUGCAUGCUUUUCAAAACAAUCAAACUUGGGAUCUCAUUCUUUGCCUACUGGAAAAGCCGUUGUUGGUUGUAAGUAGAUCUUUGCUAUCAAAGUUGGUUUUGAAGGCAUUAUUGAUCAACUAAAACUUUGCUUGGUAGCCAAAGGUUAUACUCAUAUAUUGGGAUUGGAUUCUGGUGACACUUUCUCUCCCGUCAUCAAGAUGACUUCAAUUUGGCUAAAGGCUAUACUAAGUUUACGGAUUAGACAAAGAUGACACCUUCUAUCCCGUCACCAAGAUGACUUCUAUCUAAUUAUCCCUUGUCAUGGUUGUUCUUUAUCAUUGGCCUCUUUAUCAGUUGGAUGACAAAGAUGUCUUCUGUCGUGGUGAUUUGUUGGAGAAAUUUAUAAGAAACAACCUCUUGAUUUUGUUGCUUAGGGAGAAUCUUCAAAGUGGUAUGUUGUGUUCACAAAUAUUUUUAUAGUCUCAAGCAAUCUCUUAGGGUUUAUAGUUUGGUAGAUUCAAUAAAGCUGUCCAACAAUUUCAUGACUCGAUGCAAGGCUAAUCAUUAAGUGUUUUGUCAUCACACAACCAUUGGAUGUAUUUACUUGUUAAUGUAUGUUGAAUGGCAUUGUUUUUCCCGGUAA